AUUCUACAUCACAGAAAAUGGCUGGUCCCAAGCAGGUGCCGGUUUGGAAUAUUAUGAUAGAAUAUCUUAUUACAGAUCAGCACUUAACAAUGUGCUUGAUAGCUUGGAGGCGGGAAUAAAACUCAAGGGUUACAUGGCGUGGAGUCUUCUUGAUAACUUUGAGUGGAUGCAAGGAUAUGCGGAACGGUUUGGCCUGUAUGAAGUAGAUUUCGAAUCUUCAGAGAAGACGCGCACUCCAAGGAAAUCCGCAUUCAUUUACAAGGAGAUUAUUCGAAGCCGCACUAUUGAUCCUGACUACGAACCACCCACCCGAACUAUGUGGAUUGAUGAAGGACAUUAAAUUGACUAUUAUUAAAUUAAUUUUAACUUUUUAUAUUAUGACGCUUA